UGGGGAAUUUUGGACAAUGGGGGAAACCCUGAUCCAGCCAUCCCGCGUGUGCGAUGAAGGCCUUCGGGUCGUAAAGCACUUUUGGUAGGAAAGAAACGUCAUGGGUUAAUACCCCGUGAAACUGACGGUACCUGCAGAAUAAGCACCGGCUAACUACGUGCCAGCACCCGCGGUAAUACGUAGGGUGCAAGCGUUAAUCGGAAUUACUGGGCGUAAAGCGUGCGCAGGCGGUUCGGAAAGAAAGAUGUGAAAUGCCAGUGCUCAGCUUUGGAACUGCAUUUUUAACUACCGGGCUACAGUGUGUCAGAGGGAGGUGGAAUUCCGCGUGUAGCAGUGAAAUGCGUAGAUAUGCAGAGGAACAACGAUGGCGAAGGCAGCCUCCUGGGAUAACACUGACGCUCAUGCACGAAAGCGUGGGGAGCAAACAGG
rnacentral:rRNA from 1 species